ACCUGAUUGCCUCCUCUAAAGGGAAGGCAUGAGAAGAGAUAGUGAUAAAUACUUAAAUUAGGAUAUUAAAAGCACUCGAUUUGUUAUUAUUUGAUUAUUAUUAUUAAGAAUUUGAUACUUCUUAAUUUAUUUUAUAGAUAAUUGGAGAUUGUGCUUAUAUAAGCAACAAAGAUUCAAAUUGGCUUAGACCCAAAGCAGAACUCAAAUAUCAAAAGAAUCAAGUGCAACC
rnacentral:lncRNA from 1 species